rnacentral:rRNA from 1 species
UGCUAGUCGCGCGGGUUCGGACCCGCGGCGAACAGCUCAGUAACACGUGGCCAAACUACCCUGUGGAGCGGGAUACCCUCGGGAAACUGAAGCCAACCCCGCAUACGGCACGCGCGGUGGAGCACCCGCGUGCCGGAAACACUCCGGUGCCACAGGAUGUGGCUGCGGCCGAUUAGGUCGACGGUGGGGUAACGGCCCACCGUGCCAAUAAUCGGUAUGGGUCAUGAGAGUGAGAACCCAGAGACGGAAUCUGAGACAAGAUUCCGGGCCCUACGGGGCGCAGCAGGCGCGAAACCUUUACACUGCACGACAGUGCGAUAGGGGGAUUCCAAGUGCACAGGCAUAGCGCCUGUGCUUUUCGGUACCCUAAGGCGGUACCAGAAUAAGGGCUGGGCAAGACCGGUGCCAGCCGCCGCGGUAAUACCGGCAGCCCAAGUGAUGGCCGAUCUUAUUGGGCCUAAAGCGUCCGUAGCUGGCCACGCAAGUCCAUCGGGAAAUCCACCUGCUCAACAGGUGGGCGCCCGGUAGAAACUGCGUGGCUUGGGA